rnacentral:tRNA from 1 species
GGAGGGAUGGCCGAGUGGUUGAAGGCGGCGGUCUUGAAAAUCGCUGUGCCCAAAAGGCACCGGGGGUUCGAAUCCCUCUCCCUCCG